UAGGAAAAGGAUCUGGGCCAGGAGGAAGACAAGGAGGGAGCCAUGUGGUUUGGAGGCUGGGUGCGGUUUAGAAUGUUCCAGUUAAACGGUCCUUUGCGGCCAGAGGGACAGAUGAUGAGCCAGGCACCUGGACCCGCAGCAGAACAAGACCAUCAUGCCACCUGACUGCUCAAGUCCUUCCAGAGAGCAGGGCUGAAAAUCACUUGAGCCAGGCUCGUAUUGCUCCUGCAUCCCACAGGCUGAGUUCCAAGGGAAGUGGUCCUCUCCUGUCCUGAGUGGUCAUCUCUUGUCCUGAGUGGUCAUCUCCUGUCCUGAGUGGUCAUCUCCUGUCCUGCUCACCUGCUCUGUGACUAACUAAGAUGAAGGAGACUUCAUUGGUCAGUUCCCUGCUGAGUCUCAAAGCCAAGACAAGCAAUUACGGUGCAUAUUUAACAUAUCAAAGUGGACCUGGCUGCCAUGUUGUCCCAGCAUCCCUCAGUCCCUAUCUGUUAACAGGGUGUAGCUGGCAUACACUGCCCUCUACCCU
rnacentral:lncRNA from 1 species